GGGGAAUUUUGGACAAUGGGCGCAAGCCUGAUCCAGCCAUGCCGCGUGAGUGAAGAAGGCCUUCGGGUUGUAAAGCUCUUUCGGUGGGGAAGAAAUCGCAUUCUUUAAUAGAGGGUGUGGAUGACGGUACCCGCACAAGAAGCACCGGCUAACUACGUGCCAGCAGCCGCGGUAAUACGUAGGGUGCGAGCGUUAAUCGGAAUUACUGGGCGUAAAGCGUGCGCAGGCGGUUAUAUAAGUCAGAUGUGAAAUCCCCGGGCUCAACCUGGGAACUGCAUUUGAGACUGUAUGGCUAGAGUGUGGCAGAGGGGGGUGGAAUUCCACGUGUAGCAGUGAAAUGCGUAGAGAUGUGGAGGAACACCGAUGGCGAAGGCAGCCCCCUGGGCCAAGACUGACGCUCAUGCACGAAAGCGUGGGGAGCAAAC
rnacentral:rRNA from 1 species